rnacentral:lncRNA from 10 species
AACUGUUUCUCAGUUCUAAUUUAUUGAGCCAGCUUGAGGUUCUCAAAAUGAGAAAUGUCUUAGCACAAAGUUAUCUUUGCAGUUUUCUGCCUCAAUGUUUCAUCUAACACUGUUAAUGCAGUGUUGAGGACCCCCCUCUAUUAUUGUGUCACUAAGUAUUUUCUUAGGUCUACAAGUACUUGUUUUAUGAAUCUGUGUGCUUUACUGUUGGGUAAAUAUAUAUUUCAGAUAGUAAAGUCUUCUUGUUGAAUUGAACCUUUUAUCAUUAUGUAAUGCUCUUUGUUGUACUUUUUUACUGUUGUUUGUUUAAAGUCUGGUUUAUCUGAUAAAAGAAUAGCAACUCCUGCUAAUUUUUGUUUUCCAUUUGAAUGAUAGAUCUUUCUCUAUCUUUUACUU